rnacentral:misc_RNA from 1 species
UUAAGUUCAGCGGGUAUCCCUACCUGAUCCGAGGUCAAACUAGAAAGUUGGGGGUUGAUGGCCAGCGUCCACCGGGUCCCUGUAGCGAGGAUAUUUACUGCGCUCAGGGCCCGACGGCACCGCCACUGAUUUUAAGGCCCGCCGCGUGAGCAGCGGAGCCCAACACCAAGCAAUGCUUGAGGGGUGUAAUGACGCUCGAA